GCCGGGCGCAGUGGCUCACUCCUGUAGUUCCAGCACUUUGGGAGGCUGAGGGGGUGGAUCACCUGAGGUCAGGAGUUGGAGACUAGCCUGGCUAACAUGGUAAAACCCCGUCUCUACUAANNNNNNNNNNUUAGUAGAGACGGGGUUUUACCAUGUUAGCCAGGCUAGUCUCCAACUCCUGACCUCAGGUGAUCCACCCCCUCAG
rfam:Chlorocebus sabaeus isolate 1994-021 chromosome 11, whole genome shotgun sequence.